rnacentral:rRNA from 1 species
CACGUAGUUAGCCGGUGCUUCUUUACCCAUUACCGUCACUCACGCUUCGUCACAGGCGAAAGCGGUUUACAACCCGAAGGCCGUCAUCCCGCACGCGGCGUUGCUGCAUCAGGCUUCCGCCCAUUGUGCAAUAUUCCCCACUGCUGCCUCCCGUAGGAGUCAGGGCCGUAUCUCAGUCCCAAUGUGGCCGGUCACCCUCUCAGGCCGGCUACCCGUCAAAGCCUUGGUAAGCCACUACCCCACCAACAAGCUGAUAAGCCGCGAGUCCAUCCCCAACCGCCGAAACUUUCCAACCCCCACCACUGCAGCAGGAGCUCCUAUCCGGUAUUAGCCCCAGUUUCCUGAAGUUAUCCCAAAGUCAAGGGCAGGUUACUCACGUGUUACUCACCCGUUCGCCACUCGAGCACCCACAAAAGCAGGGCCUUUCCGUCGACUUGCAUGUGUUAAGCACGCCGCCAGCGUUCGUCCUGAGCCAGGACUCGAAACCU